rnacentral:misc_RNA from 1 species
CUCAAAUUUCUCCUAUAAAAAGGCAUCCGUUUUUCAUUUCUUACGCAGCAACAUCGGAAGCCUAAAGAUGCAGGCAAUCUUGCUGGUACUGUUCGUCGGAGUAGCUUGUGUAGCUACUCCCACUCUCGCUGAUUACGAGCAAAAAUAUGAGCUUUCUAAGCCACACGUUCCUGUCUAUGAACCUUUCACCUUCAAGAAACCACCACUCAAGCCCCACACGGUGAAGAAGCCACCAGUUUACAAGCCAUUCCCUAAACCCGAGCCACCAAUUUACAAGCCCCCCAAGGAGAAGCCACCAUUUUAUAAACCACCAACUCUACCUCCACCAAUUUACAAGCCCCCUAAGGUGAAGCCACCAGUUUAUAAACCACCAACUCUACCUCCACCAAUUUACAAGCCCCCUAAGGUGAAGCCACCAGUUUAUAAACCACCAACUCUACCUCCACCAAUUUACAAGCCCCCUAAGGUGAAGCCACCAG